CAGGAAGUAGUUUAAGUAGAAUA
rnacentral:tRNA from 1 species